UUUAAGAACAGCUGUAUUCACACACAUCUGCGGAACGAUCUUUGCCAACUGUGCGGAACAAAAAAAGAAAACCUUGUAGGAGUGGAGCUCAAUUUAUGGAGCUCAUUUUUAAUUUCUAUAAAUAAGAUUGAAAUUGUGAUGCAAGUGAGACACUUGUUCCCCGUACCCGUCUUGUUUAGCACUCCGAAGGGACCCUGUUUUGACGUGACAUCAUAAUACACACUUGUGACUCAUGGUUAACUCAAUCAGAACCCUAAUCUGUGCCGUAAAUCUCGUUCAGAACACAUCUUGACGCACAAGGAAAUCGUUCUGGCACACUGCGAGACUCCUAAUGUAGUGCAGUGGGAAUAAGAAUAAUUAUGGACUAUUUGAGCUCAGCUAUGACUGUUUUAUAUCCGUUGAUCUACGCUCGGGUUCCUGAUGCGUCUUGAGUUUCUGGCAGACUGGAGGGGGAGGGGGAAAAGCAAGAGAGUGGCUGCUUUUGAAAAUGAACAUGCCAUUUUAGUUCGGGUUCAGCGCCUUCACACACACGCCUUGUUCGGUUCUUACAGUCGCAUCCCGCACAACUUAGCGCUCAUGUAAAAUUUACAGCGAGGACACGGCAUGGCGGAGGAGCAGACCUGAGUGCUCGGAGGAUAGCAGAGGUGGCAAACGUACUCCCACUCUACAACAUCACCAGUUGCUGCCGACAUGAAAGUGAGACACGGAAAAAGAGCGCACGAGAGAGAGGAGCACAAAAAGGGAAAGAUCCAAUUUCUGCCAGCUAUAUUAUCCCAGCUACUGACCUGAAGUUACGUUCGGCUUCAUCACAAACCAUCAGAGUGAAAUAGGUCAACCACGUAUAAUGGCGGGGCAACGAGGAGCAAGUAUGGCACACCCUCCACCAGCACCACCAGCACCACCGCCACCCCCACCCCUCCUCCUCAAGACCAGCCAGCUGCUGAAAGCAAGCAAUGACUCCCCCUGUUCCCCUGUGGAUGCGAAGGAAGCAGCCACAACAUGUCCACCUCGCAGCCACAACAAUCAUUUACGGAGCCACGCUUGAGGGGAGCACGGUUGGCCAGCUCUUAUGGAAUACACAGUUCGGCGAGUUUGCAUCUAGCGCUGUAAAUGCUCAUCGUCUGUCAAAUUGAGACGAACGG